CGCGGGGCUGAGCCUUCCCGUCGUCGACCCCAAGGACGUCCUGGUUUCCGGUUUGGGUGUGGCCGCCGGGGGAGGGGAUUGGCCUGGCGGCGGCUUCUGUGGCUGCACAGUCCUGGAGUGACAUUGGGUCCUCUGCUCAGGGUCUCAUCAGGCUGUCGUCAAGAUGUUGGCCAGCUGUGCUCUUGUCUGGAGGAUUAAUUAAGGAAGACUGCACUUCCAAGCUUACUCAGAUUAACAUGAUGAGAAGAGGGAUGAUGAAGAGGCAGCUGAAGGUGAAAAAGUUAUAGAAGGCCUGAUGCCACCAUUGUGGAAAACUGCAGUGCGUUAUACAUUGAGAGAAACCCUCUGUCUGUCCAGAGCUGUCUGCUAAGUGGAUCAUCCGGAAGAUAUAUAACUGUAUGAGAAAAGAAAACAAUUAAAAGAUGGUGUUACUUUCUUUCAAA